UACGGAGGGGACUAGCGUUGUUCGGAAUUACUGGGCGUAAAGCGCACGUAGGCGGAUUUGUAAGUCCGGGGUGAAAUCCCGGGGCUCAACCUCGGAACUGCCUUUGAUACUGCAAAUCUCGAGUCCGGAAGAGGUGAGUGGAAUUCCCAGUGUAGAGGUGAAAUUCGUAGAUAUUGGGAAGAACACCGGUGGCGAAGGCGGCUCUCUGGACCACAACUGACGCUGAGGCGCGAAAGCGUGGGGAGCAAACAGG
rnacentral:rRNA from 1 species